CGUGCCAUGAUUCAGUUACCUCCACCCUGUCCCGCCCUUGACACAUGGGGAUUAUUACAAUUCAGGGUGAGAUUUGGGUGGGCCAUAGAGCCAAACCAUAUCACUUUCCCUGUUAUUUAGAGCAUUAUUAUAAUACUGUGAAUAUAAUGUAAUAGGUAGCAUCACUCUUUCUAAUCUGUAAGUGUAUAAAACGGUUAUGUAUCCUUAGAUGCCAUCACACACAUCCACGGGCCUUUCCUGUGCUCCAGAGAAGCCGCACACCUGUCUUUUCCUCCCUGCUCCUUUAGUUUGCGAUGGCCUUCAGAUGCCAGGCCAAGGAGGAAAACCUGAGCCUCCUGGUGACAGGGUGUCUUCGGUCUCUUUUUUUUUUUUGAUACAGAAUCUUGCUCUGUUGCCCAGGCUGGAGUGCACUGGUGCGAUCUCAGCUCACUGCAACCUCUGCCUCCUGAGUUCAAGUGAUUCCAUUUGAAGGAUAUUGCUCCACUGUCUUUUGGCCUUCACUGUAUCUGUUGAUUGUAUCUGAUGAUGACCUCCAUUAUAUUCUGAUCAGCACAAUUUCAGAUAGUUGUUCCCCGUCCGCUUCCUAGUGGAAUGACCCAUGUAUGUAACUCAGGAGAGUGCUUGACUUCCUGGUACCAGUUUAUUAUGAAGGAUGCAACUCAGAAUGAGAUGGAUAGAAGAAAGAUGUAGGGUAAGGGAUGGGAGCAGAGUUUCUAGGCCCUCUGGGUGCAGCACCUCCGUGCUUUCAGCAACCCAAAAUCUCUCCAAGCCCUGUCCUUGGU
rnacentral:lncRNA from 10 species